rnacentral:rRNA from 1 species
CGACCCCAGGUCAAGCGGGGUUACCCACUGAGUUUAAGCAUAUCAAUAAGCGGAGG